rnacentral:rRNA from 1 species
CAGCGGAGGGAUCAUUACAAGAAGCCGAAAGGCUACUUCAAACCAUUGCGAACUCGUCCAAGUUGCUUCGGCGGCGCGGCUCCCCCUAACGGGGGCGCCGCAGCCCUGCCUCUCCGGAGGUUCGGGGCGCCCGCCGGAGGUACGAAACUCUGUAUUAUUGUGGCAUCUCUGAGUAAAAAGCAAAUAAGUUAAAACUUUCAACAACGGAUCUCUUGGUUCUGGCAUCGAUGAAGAACGCAGCGAAAUGCGAUAAGUAAUGUGAAUUGCAGAAUUCAGUGAAUCAUCGAAUCUUUGAACGCACAUUGCGCCCGGUAGUACUCUACCGGGCAUGCCUGUUCGAGCGUCAUUUCAACCCUCAAGCCCUGCUUGGUGUUGGGGCCCUACGGCUGCCGUAGGCCCUGAAAGGAAGUGGCGGGCUCGCUACAACUCCGAGCGUAGUAAUUCAUUAUCUCGCUAGGGAGGUUGCGGCGUGCUCCUGCCGUUAAAGACCCAUCUUUAACCAAGG